UUUCGCAAUGCCCGAAAGGGUGACGAAGCGACGCCGCGUGCGGGAAGAAGGCCUUCGGGUUGUAAACCGCUGUCGGGAGUUAAGAAAUGUAAGGAUGUUAAUAGCAUCUUUGCUUGACUAAGGCUCCGGAGGAAGCCACGGCUAACUCUGUGCCAGCAGCCGCGGUAAUACAGAGGCGGCAAGCGUUGUUCGGAAUUAUUGGGCGUAAAGAGCACGUAGGCGGCUAUGUAAGUCGGUUGUGAAAGCCUUCCGCUCAACGGGAGAACAGCAUCCGAUACUGCAUGGCUUGAGUGCGGGAGGGGAGAGUGGAACUUCUGGUGGAGCGGUGAAAUGCGUAGAUAUCAGAAGGAACGCCGGCGGCGAAAGCGGCUCUCUGGCCCAUAACUGACGCUGAGUGUGCGAAAGCUAGGGGAGCAAACGGGGUUAGAUACCCCGGUAGUUCUAGCCGUAAACGAUGGGCACUAAGUAGAGGGGUUUUAAUCUC
rnacentral:rRNA from 1 species